UACGUAGGGGGCAAGCGUUGUCCGGAUUUAUUGGGCGUAAAGAGCGUGUAGGCGGCUAGGUAGGUCCGUUGUGAAAACUCGAGGCUCAACCUCGAGACGUCGAUGGAAACCAUCUAGCUAGAGUCCGGAAGAGGAGAGUGGAAUUCCUGGUGUAGCGGUGAAAUGCGCAGAUAUCAGGAAGAACACCCGUGGCGAAGGCGGCUCUCUGGGCAGUAACUGACGCUGAGGAGCGAAAGCGUGGGGAGCGAACAGG
rnacentral:rRNA from 1 species